CCCCUAGAUGUUCUGGGCCGCACGCGCGCUACACUGAACAGUUCAACAAGUCUUAACCUUGGCCGAUAGGUCUGGGUAAUCUUUGAACGCUGUUCGUGAUUGGGAUAGACCUUUGCAAUUAUGGGUCUUCAACGAGGAAUUCCUAGUAAACGCAAGUCAUCAGCUUGCAUUGAUUACGUCCCUGCCCUUUGUACACACCGCCCGUUGCACCUACCGAUUGAAUGGUCCGGUGAAAUCUCGGGACGGCGGCUUGGUCGCUUGCGUCCGACUGCUGAAACUUGAUUAAACCAUAUCAUUUAGAGGAAGGUGAANUCGUANCA
rnacentral:rRNA from 1 species